rnacentral:lncRNA from 1 species
ACCAGAGUUUCAUCCUUUCUGGAAUCUUAGAAUCAGAAGUGGGCAGGUUGAGGAACCACCGAGCCCAAUCUCUUCCCUUUGUAGGCAGGGAACAUGUGGCUGCCCAGGACAUAGCCUGUCAAUUCUGCCCCAGGAUAAGGAGGAGGUUUCCUCUGAAGACUCAAGAAGGCCUUACAGCUCCAUUUCCAGUUUCCCGAAGAGAAGACCCCCUGGCUUCUACAGCACAGGAUCAAGGCACAGAGGGGUGAAGAUUAUCUUAUGCCAGGCUCCCAGGAAACGUGGGUUUCCUGAUAGCUCAGAUGUGAUCUUAAAAGCCAGAGCUCAAUGAGCAGCGAGCGACUAAAGCACUUGGAAUUCCUUCAUUCAAACACACUAUCAAAGGGGCCUCGGAGCAUAUUGCUUGUG